UUUCUUUGGAGAGUUUGAUCCUGGCUCAGGACGAACGCUGGCGGCGUGCCUAAUACAUGCAAGUCGAGCGGACCAAAU
rnacentral:rRNA from 1 species